GCCUCGUUGGCGUAGUGGUAGCGCGUCGCACUUGUAAUGCGAAGGUCACUCGUUCAACCCGGGUACGAGGCA
rnacentral:tRNA from 1 species